GAAACCUCAUCUUGCUUACACGCCAUCCGGGCGUCGAGCAGUGUUUUUUACAAGAAAACACAGGCACUCCGCCUGGGUGAGGAGAGAGU
ncrna:unclassified sequences RAGATH-10 RNA